rnacentral:rRNA from 1 species
AGCAACAAAUGCCCUGCUUCCAGGAAAAGCCUCUAAGCAUCAGGUAACAUCAAAUCGUACCCCAAACCGACACAGGUGGUCAGGUAGAGAAUACCAAGGCGCUUGAGAGAACUCGGGUGAAGGAACUAGGCAAAAUGGUGCCGUAACUUCGGGAGAAGGCACGCUGACACGUAGGUGAAGUGAUUUACUCAUGGAGCUGAAGUCAGUCGAAGAUACCAGCUGGCUGCAACUGUUUAUUAAAAACACAGCACUGUGCAAACACGAAAGUGGACGUAUACGGUGUGACGCCUGCCCGGUGCCGGAAGGUUAAUUGAUGGGGUCAGCGCAAGCGAAGCUCCUGAUCGAAGCCCCGGUAAACGGCGGCCGUAACUAUAACGGUCCUAAGGUAGCGAAAUUCCUUGUCGGGUAAGUUCCGACCUGCACGAAUGGCGUAAUGAUGGCCAGGCUGUCUCCACCCGAGACUCAGUGAAAUUGAACUCGCUGUGAAGAUGCAGUGUACCCGCGGCAAGACGGAAAGACCCCGUGAACCUUUACUAUAGCUUGACACUGAACAUUGAGCCUUGAUGUGUAGGAUAGGUGGGAGGCUUUGAAGUGUGGACGCCAGUCUGCAUGGAGCCGACCUUGAAAUACCACCCUUUAAUGUUUGAUGUUCUAACGUGGACCCGUGAUCCGGGUUGCGGACAGUGUCUGGUGGGUAGUUUGACUGGGGCGGUCUCCUCCUAAAGAGUAACGGAGGAGCACGAAGGUUGGCUAAUCCUGGUCGGACAUCAGGAGGUUAGUGCAAUGGCAUAAGCCAGCUUGACUGCGAGCGUGACGGCGCGAGCAGGUGCGAAAGCAGGUCAUAGUGAUCCGGUGGUUCUGAAUGGAAGGGCCAUCGCUCAACGGAUAAAAGGUACUCCGGGGAUAACAGGCUGAUACCGCCCAAGAGUUCAUAUCGACGGCGGUGUUUGGCACCUCGAUGUCGGCUCAUCACAUCCUGGGGCUGAAGUAGGUCCCAAGGGUAUGGCUGUUCGCCAUUUAAAGUGGUACGCGAGCUGGGUUUAGAACGUCGUGAGACAGUUCGGUCCCUAUCUGCCGUGGGCGCUGGAGAACUGAGGGGGGCUGCUCCUAGUACGAGAGGACCGGAGUGGACGCAUCACUGGUGUUCGGGUUGUCAUGCCAAUGGCACUGCCCGGUAGCUAAAUGCGGAAGAGAUAAGUGCUGAAAGCAUCUAAGCACGAAACUUGCCCCGAGAUGAGUUCUCCCUGAGACUUUAGGUCUCCUGAAGGAACGUUGAAGACGACGACGUUGAUAGGCCGGGUGUGUAAGCGCAGCGAUGCGUUGA